CUUGAACGCUGGCGGCAGGCCUAACACAUGCAAGUCGAACGAGUGGCGGACGGGUGAGUAAUGUCUGGGAAACUGCCCGAUGGAGGGGGAUAACUACUGGAAACGGUAGCUAAUACCGCAUACCCUCGGAUGUGCCCAGAUGGGAUUAGCUAGUAGUUGGGGUAACGGCUCACCUAGGCGACGAUCCCUAGCUGGUCUGAGAGGAAGACCAGCAACACUGGAACUGAGACACGGUCCAGACUCCUACGGGAGGCAGCAGUGGGGAAUAUUGCACAAUGGGCGCAAGCCUGAUACAGCCAUGCCGCGUGUAUGAAGAAGGCCUUCGGGUUGUAAAGUACUUUCAGCGAGGAGGCGUUACUCGCAGAAGAAGCACCGGCUAACUCCGUGCCAGCAGCCGCGGUAAUAC
rnacentral:rRNA from 1 species